GACGAACGCUGGCGGCGUGCCUAAUACAUGCAAGUUGAGCGCUGAAGGAUGGUACUUGUACCAACUGGAUGAGCAGCGAACGGGUGAGUAACGCGUGGGGAAUCUGCCUUUGAGCGGGGGACAACAUCUGGAAACGAAUGCUAAUACCGCAUAAAAACUUUAAACACAAGUUUUAAGUGUGAAAGAUGCAAUUGCAUCACUCAAAGAUGAUCCCGCGUUGUAUUAGCUAGUUGGUGAGGUAAAGGCCCACCAAGGGGAUGAUACAUAGCCGACCUGAAAGGGUGAUCGGCCACAAUGGGACUGGGACACGGCCCAAACUCCUACGGGGGGCAGCAGUAGGGGAUCAUCGGCAAUGGACGGAAGUCUGACCGAGCAACGACGCGGGGGGGAAGAAGGGUUUCGGAUCGUAAAACUCUGUUGGUAGAGAAAAACGAUGGUGAGAGUGGAAAGCUCAUCAAGUGACGGUAACUAACGAGAAAGGGACGGCUAACUACGUG
rnacentral:rRNA from 1 species